rnacentral:sRNA from 1 species
CUACAUACAACCGCUCAAUUUCAGGUUUAAGUACAUGAUAUGUCACCUGUUCUUGGCGUGACUUAAAUUAUA